GAAGAACAUUUAACUCCGUUUUAUGUUGUACCACAUCCAAAAAAAAGAACUCAAUAAAACAACCAGUGUGAUUUGAGGAUUAUAAAUAUUGAGGAACUGGAAGACAAGCCAAGACCAGAUUCACCAUUACUGCAUCUGGCCUGUCGGAGGUUUACUUGGACAUCCCUCUGCUAAUUUCGGGGGAUUUCCAAGCAGAUGGGAGGAGUAUCUGAAGCUUGGCCCAGGCAGGACGUUGCCAAAGCUACCAUCAGCUUUGAUGACACACUGAAGUAUCUUUAUUCCCUCACCAAAUAUUAUUGAAGGUAAACCAAGCCAGGGUACAAUCUGAACCUCUGCCUGAUGAGAAUAUCACAACCCACAGACUGAAGGCGCACACACACACUUUGCUCACUCUUUUAUAUACCUAUUUCUUGUCUCUCUGUCGGCCGGGAGCUUCGAGGUUGGAAAUGAUAAAAUUUAGACUUCUCAUUUCUCUCCCAUUCCACUUUAAUUUCUUCCCCACUCCGUGCUCCCUUCCUCUAAUUUCUGCCUCUCCCCUGCCAUCUCAUUGUGCUCUCCGUUUCCUUGUUAGCUCUGCUCAGGGUCUCUCACCUCUCAUUAGCUUCCCCUGCUGACUGGAGGCACCUGUCCUCGGGUCCCACUGCGGAUAUCUGGGCUUCUGUUUAAAUCAAUUUCCAUGUUAAAUAGCUGCUGCAGGGGAGGGCAGGAGGCGGGGAGGGUGUGGGGGAGAUGGAAGAGGUUGAGACAUUACAUGAACCACAACUCUUUCACGCCGCUGACCCUGCAGGCUGAUCCACAGCCGCUGUCUUGUUCUGUCUCCCCGACCCCUUCCCUUCCCUGGUUCGGCCCUUUAUCACUUCGUGUUCUCCCCCUUUGGCUCCUCUCUUUUAUUUCCCUCUCUGUGCUUUUUUUUCUCUUUCUGGCUUUUGCUUCCAUUCUCCCAG